AACGGCCGUACCAUGCUGAAUAUACCGGUUCUCGUUAGAUCACCGAAGUCAAGCAUCAUUGGGCGCGGUCAGUACUUGGGAGGGUGACCACCUGGGAACACCGCGUGCCGUU
rnacentral:rRNA from 1 species